UACGUAGGGGGCUAGCGUUAUCCGGAAUUACUGGGCGUAAAGGGUGCGUAGGUGGUUUCUUAAGUCAGAGGUGAAAGGCUACGGCUCAACCGUAGUAAGCCUUUGAAACUGGGGAACUUGAGUGCAGGAGAGGAGAGUGGAAUUCCUAGUGUAGCGGUGAAAUGCAUAGAUAUUAGGAGGAACACCAGUUGCGAAGGCGGCUCUCUGGACUGUAACUGACACUGAGGCACGAAAGCGUGGGGAGCAAACAGG
rnacentral:rRNA from 1 species